UAUAAUCGUUUUAAUCGAUGGGGGGACGCAGUAGGAUAGGCGAAGCGUGCGAUUGGAUUGCACGUCUAAGCAGUAAGGCUGGGUAUUAGGCAAAUCCGGUACUCGUUAAGGCUGAGCUGUGAUGGGGAGAAGACAUUGUGUCUUCGAGUCGUUGAUUUCACACUGCCGAGAAAAGCCUCUAGAUAGAAAAUAGGUGCCCGUACCGCAAACCGACACAGGUAGUCAAGAUGAGAAUUCUAAGGUGAGCGAGCGAACUCUCGUUAAGGAACUCGGCAAAAUGACCCCGUAACUUCGGGAGAAGGGGUGCUCUUUAGGGUUAACGCCCAGAAGAGCCGCAGUGAAUAGGCCCAAGCGACUGUUUAUCAAAAACACAGGUCUCUGCUAAACCGUAAGGUGAUGUAUAGGGGCUGACGCCUGCCCGGUGCUGGAAGGUUAAGAGGAGUGGUUAGCUUCUGCGAAGCUACGAAUCGAAGCCCCAGUAAACGGCGGCCGUAACUAUAACGGUCCUAAGGUAGCGAAAUUCCUUGUCGGGUAAGUUCCGACCCGCACGAAAGGCGUAACGAUUUGGGCACUGUCUCAACGAGAGACUCGGUGAAAUCAUAGUACCUGUGAAGAUGCAGGUUACCCGCGACAGGACGGAAAGACCCCGUGGAGCUUUACUGUAGCCUGAUAUUGAAAUUCGGCACAGCUUGUACAGGAUAGGUAGGAGCCUUUGAAACGUGAGCGCUAGCUUACGUGGAGGCGCUGGUGGGAUACUACCCUAGCUGUGUUGGCUUUCUAACCCGCACCACUUAUCGUGGUGGGAGACAGUGUCAGGCGGGCAGUUUGACUGGGGCGGUCGCCUCCUAAAAGGUAACGGAGGCGCUCAAAGGUUCCCUCAGAAUGGUUGGAAAUCAUUCAUAGAGUGUAAAGGCAUAAGGGAGCUUGACUGCGAGACCUACAAGUCGAGCAGGGUCGAAAGACGGACUUAGUGAUCCGGUGGUUCCGCAUGGAAGGGCCAUCGCUCAACGGAUAAAAGCUACCCCGGGGAUAACAGGCUUAUCUCCCCCAAGAGUUCACAUCGACGGGGAGGUUUGGCACCUCGAUGUCGGCUCAUCGCAUCCUGGGGCUGUAGUCGGUCCCAAGGGUUGGGCUGUUCGCCCAUUAAAGCGGUACGCGAGCUGGGUUCAGAACGUCGUGAGACAGUUCGGUCCCUAUCCGUCGUGGGCGUAGGAAAUUUGAGAGGAGCUGUCCUUAGUACGAGAGGACCGGGAUGGACAUACCUCUGGUGUACCAGUUGUCGUGCCAACGGCAUAGCUGGGUAGCUAUGUGUGGACGGGAUAAGUGCUGAAAGCAUCUAAGCAUGAAGCCCCCCUCAAGAUGAGAUUUCCCAACUUCGGUUAUAAGAUCCCUCAAAGAUGAUGAGGUUAAUAGGUUCGAGGUGGAAGCAUGGUGACAUGUGGAGCUGACGAAUACUAAUCGAUCGAAGACUUAAUCAA
rnacentral:rRNA from 1 species